CCAAAAUUAGUCUAGUCCGAUUU
rnacentral:snRNA from 1 species